GAUGGUGCUUAAACGCGUGACCUACACCCAGCCUUCAGGGCAAGUGCCAGGACUCGAUGAGUAGGAGGGCAUGGUGGUUACUGCAAAACCUUAUGUGCAAGACGGGGUGGAGCGGCCAUCGGUGUAGAUCUUAGUGGUAGUAAAAAAUAUUUAAUUGAGAACUUUGAAGGCCGAAGAUGGGAAAGGUUCCAUGUAAAUGACACUUGCACAUGGGUUAGUCGUUCCUAAGGGUCGGGGGAACCCCGAUAUAUAACAAAUUUCACGCAUACUCCAAAAGGGAAUCGGGUUAAAAUUCCUGAACUGGGACGUGAUGGUCGAUGGCAAUGUUAGGAAGUCUGAAGAUGUCGGCAGGAGCCUCGAAAAGUAUUAUUUUUUUGUUUAACAGCCUACCCACCCUGGAAUCGGCUCAGCCAGAGGUAGGGUCCAACGACUGGAAGAGCACUGUAUGUCACGUGGUGUCCGGUACACUCCCAGUGGCCCUUAAAAAUUCAAAGGACCGAAUGUCAUCCAUGACCGAUCAUACUCAUAACUGCAUCAGGUCUCCAAGGUGAACAAUCUGUGGUUGAUGGAACAAUGUAGGCAAGGUAAGUCGGCAAAAAGGAUCCCUAAGUUCGGGAAAAGGAUUGGCUAGGAGGGCUAGGCACGAGGGUCCUAAUCCCAAACCCGUCGGCUGUUGGUGGACUGCUUGAGCUUCUCCCAUGGUGACCCGCCAACUCAAAACUAGUACGGACAAGGGGAAUCUGACUGUUUAAUUAAAACAAAGCAUUGCAUAGUCCUAACGGAUGUUCACGCAAUACGAUUUCUGCUAGUGCUUUGAAUGUUAAUGUGAAGAAAUUCAACCAAGUGCGGGUAAAUGGCGGGAGUAACUAUGACUCUCUUAAGGUAGCCAAAUGCAUCGUCAUCAAAUUAGUGAUGCGCAUGAAUAGACUAACGAGAUUUCUACUGUCCUUUUCUACUAACCAGCGAAACCACAACUAAGGGAACAGGCUUGGCAAAUCAGUAGUGAAAGAAGACCUUGUUGAGGUUGACUCUAUUCCGACUUUGUGAAAUAACUUGAGAGGUGUAGUAUAAGUGGGAGCUGAAAGGCGAAAGUGAAAAACCACUACUUUUAACGUUAUUGCACUCAUUACGUGAAUCAGAAGCGGGGAACUACCUCACUUUUUGGACCGAAGGCUCGCUCUACAGGCCGACCCAGGCGGAAGAUAUUAUUAGGUGGGGAGUUUGGUUGGGGUGGCACAUCUAUUAAAAUAUAAAUAAUGUGCCCUAAAGUAGCUCAAUAGAAUAGAAAUAUCAUGCGGAACCGAAGGGUAAAAUCUCAUUUGAUUCUGAUUUCUAGUACGAAUAUGAAUCAUGCAGCGUGUCCAAAUGAUCAUUUAGACCUUUGAAAUUCGAAGCUAGAGGUGUCAGAAAAUUUAGCACAGGGAUAACUGGUUUGUGGCAGCCAAGCAUUCAUAGCGACAUUGCUUUUUAAUUCUUCGAUGUCGGCUCUUCCUAUCAUUGUGAAGCAGAAUUCACCAAGUGUUGGAUAGUUCAUCUACCAAUAGGAAACAUGAGCUGGGUUUAGACUAUCAUGAGACAGGUUAGUUUUACCCUACUGAUAACAGUGUCAUAAUAGUAAUUCAAUGUAGUAUGAGAGGAACAAUUUAUUCACAUAAUUGGUCAUCACGCAUGGUUGAAAAUCCAAUGGUGCGAAGCUACCUUCUGCUGGAUUAUGACUGAAUGACUCUAAGUCAGAAUCUAGCUAUAAGUGAUGUAUGCCCCCUCCGUCCUCUUGCCAACCCGCAGUAGGGGCCUUGGCCUUUAAUGGACCGUCUUGUUGGCUAAGCCAUUAUGGCGAAAGAAUCACGGUGGCCACCUUAAAGUACAAUUUCCAUCAAG
rnacentral:rRNA from 1 species